rnacentral:RNase_P_RNA from 8 species
UGAGUAAUACAGACAGAUGCUGUUUGCUUUUGCAAGCAGAGGAAAGUCCAGACACCAAAAGGGCUACCCAAAAUAGCUCCCAAAAAUGCAUCCGCGCGUAAGCGCGGCAGGGGCGACCCUAGGUCAAGUGCAACAGAAAAUAAAUCUCAGCCAAUUUAUUGGCGUAGAGAGUGAAAAUGUGGCUUUGCCACAAGUUUGCGUUGCAAAACGUAUCUUUGCAAACAUAUGCUGGUGCAAGCUGGCUCGACCAGCGCAUAGAUAGAUAUCUGUCCAAAACAAAAUCUGGCUUACGGAUUACUCAAGGU